rnacentral:lncRNA from 1 species
CCCAGCGGAGCGGUCACACACCGGAGCGGGUGGAGGAGCGAGGAAAGGGCCGGGGCUAGCGAAGCCCGACCGUCUCCCUGCCUCCAUUCCAGCGCGGCUCCCGGCCGCCCCCCGCGGGUUUCCCACGGCCGCCAAGCGGGAACGAGCACGGGGCAAGGCGCCCAGACCCGAGUAAGGGAAGGGGCUCGGCUUCUACGGGGCAGGCGGGCCGCGGAGGGCUGGUGGAGUCCGCCGGGCGGCGGGGGCGGCCGGGCAGGCGGAGGGACGGAGCGGGGAUGCCCGCGGCCCUCCUGCCGCCGCCGGGCUGUGCGCGGGUGCCGCAGCCGUAGCCGUGCCUGCGGCAGGCGGCGGCCAUCGCAGGCUCGCCGCCCCCGUGCGCCCCUCCGAGGACGGAGGGGUGGGGGCAGAGGAGGCGGAGGAAGCGGCGGCGGCGGCGCCAGGAACAGGGAGGCGGCGGCACGGCGAGGGAGGGAGCCAGAGCCGAAGCCGAGCCGGGCCCCGCGAAAGCAACAGCAGAGCCAGCUCCUCCUUCUCCUCCUCCUCGGACUCUCAACCAGGUUUUUCAGACACGCCCACAGUCCACAGCCCCUUCUGUUUCAUGAGCACUCUGAAAAUCAAGACACAAGACAAACAACCCCUUUGAACAAAGCUUUCUGA